AUGGACAUGAGGGCCCCCGCUCAUCUCCUCGGUCUCCUGCUGCUCCGGCUCCCAGGUGCCAGGUGUGCUACUCAGAUGACCCAGUCUCCCUCCUCCCUGUCUGCAUCUCUGGGAGACACAGUCGCCAUCACCUGCCAGGCCAGUCAGAGCAUCAGCAGUUACUUAGCCUGGCAUCAGCAGAAACCAGGGCAAGCUCCUAAGCUCCUGAUCUAUGGUGCAUCCAGCUUGCACACCGGGGUCCCUUCCAGGUUCAGUGGCAGUGGAUCAGGGACAAGUUUCACCCUCACCAUCAGCGGUGUGGAGGCUGAAGAUGUCGGAACUUAUUACUGUCUGCAGCAUAACAGUUACCCUCCCACAGUGUUACAAGCCAUAACACAAACCACCAGGGGAGGCAGACGUGUGAGGCUGGGCUGCCCCAGCUGCUCCCCCAGGUUCCUCCAUCUGCUGAAAGCCUUUCUCAGGUGCACCCAUGUUUGAAGGGCAC